rnacentral:rRNA from 1 species
UACGUAGGGGGCAAGCGUUGUCCGGAUUUAUUGGGCGUAAAGCGCGUGUAGGCGGCCAGGUAGGUCGGUUGUGAAAAUUGGAGGCUCAACCUCCAGACGUCGAUCGAAACCAUCUGGCUAGAGUCCGGAAGAGGAGAAUGGAAUCCCUGGUGUAGCGGUGAAAUGCGCAGAUAUCAGGAAGAACACCAAUGGCGAAGGCAGCACUCUGGGACGGUACUGACGCUGAGACGCGAAAGCGUGGGGAGCGAACAGG